CUAUUUGUUUAUGACAAAGAGAAAACACAGUUAUACAGAAAUGUCAUUGGAAAUACAAAAAUUAAAAAGGAAAAUGAAUUCCCCAUCACUUUAUCGUA